CGGACUUGACGCGCGCGCUCUGCAGCCCUCUGAAGGCGGGGCAAUCGCGAUAGAGAAAGGCAGGAGAGAAAGAGACAAAAGGCUUCAGCCGCAGGCGGUAAACGAGUGAGCCUGCAAAGGCGGCACAGAAAGCGCUGGAGAGUCGAGUCUCUCCGGGUGACCAAGCUCCGCUCCAAGCCACUCUCUUCUCGAGGGGAGUCAAGGAGCAGAAAGCCCUUGGCGCAGCACUGGGCGCGGGACUCCGCACUCUGCCUUUUCUCGCUCUCUGUACCUCAUUAUCUCCCUUUGGGACCGGAGGAGCGGGCUCUGGUGUCACUAACGAACUGUAAACCGAAUGCCCGACCCGAUCCAUGGAAGGGCAUGAUCUAAGUCCUGUUACCACCACCACGCUGGGUCGGCUGCCCUGACUCUU
rnacentral:sRNA from 1 species